CCUCGGGCCAAUCGCAUGUCCCCGUGACAGCGACGACGCAUUCGGAUGUCUGCCCUAUCAACUUUCGAUGGUACUUUCUGCGCCUACCAUGGUGACCACGGGUAACAGGGAAUCAGGGUUCGAUUCCGGAGAGGGAGUCUGAGAAACGGCUACCACAUCCAAGGAAGGCAGCAGGCGUGCAAAUUACCCACUCCCGACGCGGGGAGGUAGUGACGACAAAUAACAAUACAGGACUCUUUCGAGGCCCUGUAAUUGUAAUGAGUCCACAUUAAAUCCUUUAAUUAGGAUCAAUUGAAGGGCAAGUCUGGUGCAGAGCGACUGACCCGUGCGUGCUGCAGCUAAAACUCCAC